rnacentral:snRNA from 1 species
UUAGCUCUCUUUGCCUUUUGGCUUAGAUCAAGUGUAGUAUCUGUUCUUUUCAGUUUAAUCUCUGAAACUACUCUACGGAGUAGAUUUUGUGAUUAAAUUAAUUUUUGUCACCCGAGACUCGGUUCCCUCGGCUUGCCGAGCCCGAGACUCACCGUGUCUCCGGUAUCACACUGCCUCCGGAUGACGCAAAUGCCU